AAGGUCCAGGAAACACGCAUAAACUGGUGUGUUCCUGUUCGUAUAGUAUUGGACAGUAUGCUUAAGACACAGCACUGCACUUUCAGUGGACAGUCCGGGUCUAAAUCCGAACUGUGCGUCAUGCAGAUUUAGAUGCGUGUCCAAUCGGCUACUGAGCAUACUGUCCAGUAUUUUUGCAAUGAUGGUGGCUAAUGAUAUGGGUCUAUAGUUACGUCUAUCAAAGACAUCCCCUGUCCGGUUUUUCACAAUAGGUACCACCAGGAAAGUUAUGUGGUAUAAUACAACGUAGGUCGACGAAAAAAGCGUCAAGUAAAAACGCAUUAUUAGAUAUAAUUCGAAAAGUAGUUGUUAGAUCUCAAAUAAAUUUAAAUGGGACCAAUCGGCACACACCACCUUUCGAUUAAAACAAAAUUUGUCGAAAUCGGUCUACCUGGUCAAAAGUUCUGAUGUAACAUACAUAAAA
rnacentral:misc_RNA from 1 species